rnacentral:lncRNA from 1 species
ACUUUUCAAAUUAUUCUUAUUGUUAUUAUUAUCAUUAUUUGGUUACAUGAAUAAGUUCUUUGGUGAUGAUUUCUGAGAUUUUGGUGCACCCAUCACUCAAUAAGUGUACACUGUACCCAAUGUGUCUUUUAUCCCUCGCCCUUCUUCCACCCUUUUCCCUGAGUCCCCAAAGUCCAUUGUGUCAUUCUGUUGCCUUUGCGUUUUCAUAGCUGAGCUCCCAAUAGUUGUAAUGUCUUUUAUUUCAUUACUGAUUUUAUCUCUUUGAGUUUUCUCUUUUUUCCUUAGUUUAGUUAAGAGUUUAUAAAUUUUGCUUAUCUUUAAAAAAUUCCACCAACUGUUAAUUUUGUUGAUUUUUUUUUCUGAUGCUUUUUGUAUCAUUUAUUUCUGCUGUUUGUGGUUUCCUUUCUUCUCCUAAAUUUGGACUAAGAUUUUAGUCUUUUUUUAGUCCCUUGAGGUGUAAAGUUAGGUUAUUUGAGAUCUUUCUUGUUUUUUAAUAUAGGAGUUGGGCACUAUGAACUUCCAUUGGCUUUGGUAUGUCGUGUUUUCAUUUUCAUUUUACUUGAAGUAUUUUCUAAUUUCCUUUUUGAUUUUUUUACUUUGACCCAAUGGUUGUCCAAGUACAUGUUGUUUAGUCUCCACAUGUGAAUUUUCCAGUUUUCCUUUUGUUAUUCAGGAUUACCAGGUCUUCAAUUUUGUCACUCCGGUUCUGCACAACCAGUACAAGAUUUGGUGGCAACUGUUUCUGUCAGCAGGGUGCUCAUGCUCUGCCUGAGCUGAACCUCAAUCCUUAGCCAAACCUCAAUCCUCAGCCUUGAACCUAUACUCAUAAUAAGAAAUACCCUGGGGAGAAAGGGUCUGCCAUCAUUAGCUCACUUUUGAGAAGUAUUCUUUGUCUGAAGUUUUAUCAACAUAAACUUGUUUGCAUCUAUAAUUAUCUGAUGAGUUUAAUUAAAUUAUUUUAGUAUUUUACCUAGCUUUUCCCACAGUCUUUAGUGGGAAUGUCAGUCUGCCAUAACCUACUAUUUCUACUAAAAAGCAGAAAUUCCACCAAUGAGUUAAAUUUGACAACCCAGCUGAUUUGCAUCAAUCUUACUCUAUUUCUGUGUAACUUUGACACAAUCUGGAAGCCUGCCUUGCUCUAGUGAUGCCUCCAUAUUGUCAAUUUUUUUUUGAACAUUCUAACCGAUUCUCUGUUCCUACUUAUCCAACAAAAGUUUCUAUUCCUCUUCCUCUCUAAUUUUUCCUUCACACACUUACCCUUAGAGAUCUCAUUUUGAACCAUGGCUUCAAAGUUUUUUGAGACAUGUAUGAUGCUAAAUCAAUGAGUUCCAUCCAAUAUCUCUUCUUGAAUAUCUCAGUUUUACUCAAAAUAUGAACUUCCAAAAUCAACUCAUCUUUGAUCUUGAAUUUAUUUCCUGAAUCUCCUAUUUCAGUUACUUGUCCUUAUUAAGCAGGGGUGAUAGUUUUAUGCAAGAACAGACUAUCAAAAGGAGAAAAUCAAAGUGACCAUCCUAGGCAGAAAGGAGAUGUGUGGUGGAACUGCAAGCAUAACCAUCACUCCAUGUGGCAAGGAUGCAUGAAAUUUCCAUUGUAUUUAUAGUAGAUGAUAAUAAAAUUUUCAAGCAGGUUGCCAGUUUCUCCAUUGGGAAGGCUGGCUGGCAGCCAAAUGAACAAAAGACUGUAGGAUGGUAGUUGAAGAAGAGUUAGAAGAAGGUGAGCUAGAAGAAUUCACCCUCAUUAGGGAUCUCUAGUCAGGAGGUUUAUCCAUGUAGGCAGGGAGAUGGCCAGACCUCAGACUUUUGUUACAGAGGAUAACAGUAAUCUCCUACUGUUAGAGAAGAGAGGAAGGAAAAAGUAGCUGAAAGAAACAUUUGUCCCUUUCUACUUUUCUUGUUUCUAUAUAAACCCAGUAGAGGUUGAAGGAAUCCAAAAAAGUGAGGUAGCAGUGAGAAAACAGACCAUACCACCUAAAGCACUUGGGUUACUAAGACCAUGAAUCAAGCUGGACAUAGGCAGAGAGGAAAAGAAGACAAACAUUGAAUAGACAUCAGAAUAGAGGAUUAAGUUGAAAAAUUUUUCUAACAUUUUCAUACCUAACAAAGACCAUAAAAUUAUAGACCCAUGAUUGGAUGAAGGGAUAAAUAAAGUCACUUAAUAUACCUCACUUGGUUCACACUGUUUAAAUUGAUAAGUGAAAACAAAAAUGCAAUCAUAUCCUUGAAAAUAGUGGAAAUUUAAUUUGGCUUUGCAUUUUUAUACAUCAUGUAUGCUGAUAUCUCCUUAUUUUGUUAGUAGUCUAGUGGUUUUUAAAGUGUGGUGUUCACCACAGCACUGCUAUCACUGGGGAGCUUGUUAAAAAUGCUUAUUCACAGGUCCCACCCCAGACCUUCUCAAUCAGAAAGUUGAGCCCAGUGAUCUAAGUUUUAACAAGACUUCCAAGUGUUUCUAGUACAUUCCAAAGUUUGAGACUCACAAUGUAGUU